rnacentral:rRNA from 1 species
CCUACGGGGGGCACCAGUGGGGAAUAUUGGACAAUGGGCGGAAGCCAGAUCCAGCAAUGCCGCGUGUGUGAAGAAGGUCUUCGGAUUGUAAAGCACUUUCGACGGGGACGACGAUGACGGUACCCGUAGAAGAAGCCCCGGCUAACUUCGUGCCAGCAGCCGCGGUAAUACGAAGGGGGCUAGCGUUGCUCGGAAUGACUGGGCGUAAAGGGCGCGUAGGCGGUUUAUGCAGUCAGAUGUGAAAUCCCCGGGCUUAACCUGGGAACUGCAUUUGAGACGCAUAGACUAGAGGUCGAGAGAGGGUUGUGGAAUUCCCAGUGUAGAGGUGAAAUUCGUAGAUAUUGGGAAGAACACCGGUGGCGAAGGCGGCAACCUGGCUCGAUACUGACGCUGAGGCGCGAAAGCGUGGGGAGCAAACAGGAUUAGAUACCCG